AGAGAGAGAGAGAGAGAGAGAGAGAGAGAGAGAGAGAGAGAGAGAGAGAGAGAGAGGAAUAGAUCAGAAGAGAAGCUGUAGCUGGAAAAUGUAGAUAGACACCUUGGAGAGAAGAGAAGCACGCAGAGGGGCCAGCACUCAAGUAGAGUAGAGAGGAGAGUGUAAAGGAGGACGGGAGGAGAGACAAGCAGAACCAGCAAGACGAGAGAGAGAGAGAGAGAGAGAGAGAGAGAGAUGGAGAGAUAGAUAGAGAGAGAGCGAGACGAAGGAGGGGGACACAGACCACUGUGAGAGGAGAGUAACGGCUGCACACAGUAACGGCUGCAGACACGCAGAUAGAUAGACGGACUCCAGCACUGCACAGACUCACACAAACACACAUAAAGAGUGUGUGAGACAUGCCCAGGCUGCUGCCCAUGGACACACACACACACAAGCUGGCAGGGCAUCCGAGAGGACAUACAGACCCCCAUGUCUAAGGAGCCAUGGAGAGCAGCAUGUUUUUCGGUAAUGCAUGUCAAAAUGGCCUCCUGCCGACGCUGAUACGUCCUGCUCUGCCCACUGUCCAGCAGUCUCUGGGCAUGAAGCAGUUCCAGUUCCCGUUUCCCCUGGAUACGGCCUCAGCAGUCAGCCUCUUCCCUGGCUUCGGCACGAGCCGGGAGUUACGUGCAUGACCACACCUGCAUCUGAUGAGAAAGAUUCCAAGUCUCCUGGCAGCUCUCAGCCAAUGUUGUUUUGUAAUACAGUAUGUGACUGACAUAAUCAGGAUAUGUUUAGCCAGAAGGGAUAGCAGGGAUAUUUUCUCAAUGUUUUGUUAUACUCCCCCUUGGUUGCUAUUCCUGCUUCCUGGGGUGCAAUACCUCUCAUAAAAUAGAAAUGUGUCCUUAUGUAA